rnacentral:rRNA from 1 species
GUAAGGAGUUUUCGGCAAUGGGGGGAACCCUGACCGAGCAACGCCGCGUGAGUGAUGACGGCCCUAUGGGUUGUAAAGCUCUGUUAUAAGGGACGAACAGCUUUGCUAGGAAAUGAGCAGAGUCUGACGGUACUUUAUCAGAAAGCCACGGCUAACUACGUGCCAGCAGCCGCGGUAAUACGUAGGUGGCAAGCGUUAUCCGGAAUUAUUGGGCGUAAAGAGUGAGCAGGCGGCAGAUUAAGUUUGAGGUUAAAGCGUGGGGCUCAACCCCAUAAAGCCUUGAAAACUGAUCAGCUAGAGUACGAGAGAUGUGAAGGGAACUCCAUGUGUAGCGGUGAAAUGCGUAGAUAUAUGGAAGAACACCAGUGGCGAAGGCGCUUCACAAGCUCGAAACUGACGCUCAGUCACGAAAGCGUGGGUAGCAAAUAGGAUUAGAAACCCCAGUAGUCC